AGAGUUUGAUCAUGGCUCAGGACGAACGCUGGCGGCACGCUUAACACAUGCAAGUCGAACGAGAGAAGAGGAGCUUGCUUUUCUGAUCUAGUGGCGGACGGGUGAGUAACACGUGAGCAAUCUGCCUUUCAGAGGGGGAUACCGAUUGGAAACGAUCGUUAAUACCGCAUAACAUAAUUGAACCGCAUGAUUUGAUUAUCAAAGAUUUAUCGCUGAAAGAUGAGCUCGCGUCUGAUUAGCUAGUUGGUAAGGUAACGGCUUACCAAGGCGACGAUCAGUAGCCGGACUGAGAGGUUGAUCGGCCACAUUGGGACUGAGACACGGCCCAGACUCCUACGGGAGGCAGCAGUGGGGAAUAUUGCACAAUGGAGGAAACUCUGAUGCAGCGAUGCCGCGUGAGGGAAGAAGGUUUUAGGAUUGUAAACCUCUGUCUUCAGGGACGAAAAAAGACGGUACCUGAGGAGGAAGCUCCGGCUAACUACGUGCCAGCAGCCGCGGUAAUACGUAGGGAGCGAGCGUUGUCCGGAAUUACUGGGUGUAAAGGGAGCGUAGGCGGGAUCGCAAGUCAGAUGUGAAAACUAUGGGCUUAACCCAUAAACUGCAUUUGAAACUGUGGUUCCAGAGUGAAGUAGAGGUAAGCGGAAUUCCUAGUGUAGCGGUGAAAUGCGUAGAUAUUAGGAGGAACAUCAGUGGCGAAGGCGGCUUACUGGGCUUUAACUGACGCUGAGGCUCGAAAGCGUGGGGAGCAAACAGGAUUAGAUACCCUGGUAGUCCACGCCGUAAACGAUGAUUACUAGGUGUGGGGGGACUGACCCCUUCCGUGCCGCAGCAAACGCAAUAAGUAAUCCACCUGGGGAGUACGACCGCAAGGUUGAAACUCAAAGGAAUUGACGGGGGCCCGCACAAGCAGUGGAGUAUGUGGAUUAAUUCGAAGCAACGCGAAGAACCUUACCAGGUCUUGACAUCGUAUGCAUAGCUCAGAGAUGAGUGAAAUCUCUUCGGAGACAUAUAGACAGGUGGUGCAUGGUUGUCGUCAGCUCGUGUCGUGAGAUGUUGGGUUAAGUCCCGCAACGAGCGCAACCCUUACUGUUAGUUGCUACGCAAGAGCACUCUAGCAGGACUGCCGUUGACAAAACGGAGGAAGGUGGGGAUGACGUCAAAUCAUCAUGCCCCUUAUGACCUGGGCCUCACACGUACUACAAUGGCUGUCAACAGAGGGAAGCAAAGCCGCGAGGUGGAGCGAACCCCUAAAAGCAGUCUUAGUUCGGAUUGUAGGCUGCAACCCGCCUACAUGAAGUCGGAAUUGCUAGUAAUCGCAGAUCAGCAUGCUGCGGUGAAUACGUUCCCGGGCCUUGUACACACCGCCCGUCACGCCAUGGGAGUCGGUAACACCCGAAGCCUGUAGUCUAACCGCAAGGAGGACGCAGUCGAAGGUGGGAUUGAUGACUGGGGUGAAGUCGUAACAAGGUA
rnacentral:rRNA from 1 species